UUUAUAAGAUGGGUCCCUCUUUCAGAGCACAGAAGAGAGACCUCAAAAUCAGUCAUCAAAGGAAGACAAGGGGGCUGGGGGAGGACCCCAAAGCCCUGAUUAAAGCAGGAAAACUGAUUCCCCUACCCCAGAGACAAAGUCCUCUGGUGCGAAGCCAGCUGCUUUCCUCUGGACAGAGAAGAACCAGGCUCAGGGGCUGACAGGGAGCAGUGUUCAUCAAGGUGUCCUGACGUCCCACCCUGAUUGCAACAAGGCUCUGGGGACAUCCACAUCUGGCCUUUCCUACAGCACAGAGCUCUGCCUCCUCCCCACCACACAUGCAGCCCUCUUCUGCCCCAGGGCCGGGGCAGCCUCAGUCCUGCUGCCAGAGAAGAGCUCCAUGGGAAGAACCUGCCGCCCUGUGUGGACCCUGCUUGCCCCAGGGCCUGGCAGUGAGAGGUGCUGGGGAGGGAGGGAGGAAGUGAGUCAGCUCCCUGCAGAAAUCUGAGUGGGAGGGAGGAGCCAGCAGAAAUGAGAUCGGGGGCAAAGGGCACAGGAGCCAGAAAGGUCACUAAGAGAGGGAACCAGGCCCCGAAGGUGUUGCGGGACCCACAGAGUACAAGACAGAUACAGGUGAUGAAUUCGGCAGGGCCACCUCCAACCGAGGCUGGGUGGCCCCAGUAGGCCAGAGAACCUGGGUCCAGAGGCCUGGCCCCACCUGAGGAUGGAAUCCGAGGCGGCUCCCCUCCCUGACUCAUGUUCACACCAGAGGUAGCAAGGCCUUGUGGGACAUGGCCAGCCUCAUUCUCUCCUCAGAGAUGGAGUCUCUGGGCUCCAAGGCCUCCCACUCCCUCUCCUGAGCCCUACAGCUCCAGAAGCCCAGGUUCCCCAUGACCUGGCCUAGUAGGGACAUGCUAAGGUCCUACAGACAAGUCACCUAGGCCAGUCAGAGCGGGAAGGUUCCAGGAACCAAAACUGUCUCCCAGAGGGGAUGGGAGCUGAGCCUGGGCCCCAGGAGCAGAGCAACUGGGGCUGCCUUAGCACCCACUCUCUCCUCCCUGGUAGGGACAUGUGGGAGCUGUCCCCAGGCUCCAGCUGGAAUCCAUUGCUGUGACUGGGUAAGAUCCUUGCUGUGAAAAUUCCCAUCCUGCUGACAUUCCAGUAUGAAGGCAGUUCAGGGAGAGCAGCGGAAGGGAAGAGGAAGCCCCACUGGGCCACAUUCCAGCCCCUCAGAGACCUACAGCCAGUGAGACAGGCGCAUUCCUCCAAGGUCUGAGACAGACACUGCGUAGCCCCCAUGUAAUCCUGAAUCUUCUUCUCACCCAAGCCUGGCACCUUCAUGUGGGCUCCUGUGUGGGGGCAGGAGGCAGCCUGUCCCCAGGACCUCCCUUCCCAGGCUCCUGCUCCUGGAUGCCCACAGAGCUGCCUCUCCUCCAGUCCUGUGAGAGAUGCCAGGCCCCAGGCAUGCAAGAAACAGUCCAUGGGUGGAGAUGGGACACGCUAAGGUCCUAGAGACAAGUCACCAAGGUCAGUUAGAGCAGGAGGGGUCCAGGACCCAAAACUGAGCUAAAGUUUUGGUUCUGGUCUGGAAGACCGAACAGAGAGAAUGAGAAACCAGUUCCUGAGUACAGAACCAUCUCUUUCCUUCAACAAAUAUCCCCUGCCCUCAUGCAGUGCUCCAGCACUGGAGAAGGAAUGAGAUAACUCAGUAAUUACCAUCUUGUGAAUGCUAUGAGAAGGCUGGGGUGUUGCCAGGUGGGGACCUGACAUGGUCUGGGAGGAUCAGGGACAAGUGAUAUUCAAACUGAAGCCAAUGUGUAGAAGUGUACAAGGGAGGGCAGGGAAAGGGGCUACAGACAAAAGGAACAGCAGGAGCUCAAGGGUAGACGCCAGUGAGAAGCCUGCAUUGCCCCCACCACUGCUAGGCCCUCUGCCAGGCUGUGCUCCGCCACUGUUUUUCCACAACACACAGAGGAAACAACAGCGUGGCCCUGAGCAACACGGCGAGCCCACUCUUGGUCAGAGGUGACACUGCAGGGAUCCUGUCACCCCAAGUGCUAUGGAGAUCAGCACUAGCAUGCCAGUAUGGGCCAAAAAGGCCUUGGCAUGUGUUUGUGACAGUGUUUCCCUUCCUCUUGCCUCCGCUUCACUCAUCUACUACCCAGAUGUCAGCUUUCGCUGACCCAUCCACAAGACUGGACUUGAAGCCCCUCUGCUGCACUCCCAGCACCAGGACUGGCCCCUGUGGUUGAGCUUCUCAGAGGGUACUGUCAUGGUCUGCUACUGGAACAUCUCUCCCGCUUACUAUGAGCUCCUUGGGGCUGGGAUUAUGUGCUGCUCACCGCUGGAGCCCAGGACCUAGUAUGCAGUAAGUGCUCAACAAAUGCUUCCCUAAUGGAUGGGCAGGUGGAAGGAUGAUGGCAGAAGAAAACGGUGUUCUCCCAGGCCUGCUGGUUGAUUUCUACCAGGCCACAAAUCUACCCUACCACUGUGGCUCACCCCUGCUCCCAGCGGAACCUCAUCUAGCAGCUACCAGGACACAUGAAGGUGUGAACCCAGCAUUCUGGACACACGCCAUGUGAGAGGGAAACCCAAGGGGCUGUGUCUCCCUGGGGCCUUCUAAACAGGCCAUGGAGAGGAGCCGGGGGCCUGGCCCCAUCUGUGUGCAGGAAGAUAACAGAUGGCUAGUCAGCUCCCUCAGAGCUCCCUGGGGACAGGCAAUGUGUGGACACAGUUGAUGGAUGGCCUGAUGGCAGGGUGGCCAGCAAGAGCUGUCCCUGUGGGGCUACAGUCAUCAGGGUAUCCCUCCCAGGAGUCUGGAGGAGGCGGGAAGACUUCUCUUGGCGCAUAACUGGGAUUAGAACUGCUGCCAAGACAGGGAGUAGGAGGAGUAAAAGGAAGAGGAGGAGAUACAGGCUGAGGGUACAGAAGAGGUGCAGCACCCCACGCCACUCCCAGCCCUGUCCCAGGAAGCUGGAAACGCUGGGCUCACCCUGGUCCUCUCUGCUUGUGGUAUGAGUCCCCACCACCUACCUGGGUGAGAAAAGAUAUGGGCUUCUUUCAGCCCUAUGUGUCUCCUUAUCCUGCCACAUGGCUCUAGGAGAUGCAUGGGGAUGGGGUUUGCUACUGUGUCCUCUGGCAGAUGAAACAGGCUGAGGCUCGGGGAAGAAGUCCUCUGGGCACCAGCUGGGCUUACCCCAUAGGAGCUAGAGUGAGCCAGCAUUUCAGGGAUACCAGCUAUAACUUGGAAUCCACCAGGGCCUCCAAAGCUAAACCAUCUACUUCCCCAGGGAUGGGAUAGCAGCAGAUAGUUGGGAAGGGAAAGCUAGGAAAAUCUGAGAUGCCAGGAUGAUCCCUGUGCUAUAAAGAGAAAACCAAACAGCAUCUGGGAUGCCAGGCCCAGGGCCCCACAGAGGCCUUGCUGUGGUUCAGCAGGGAGCUGGCAACAAUCCCCUGGGGGAUUCAUUCUUUAAGAAGAAAAUUCCAUCUGUUAAAAGCAGCGUUAGCCUGGAAGAACGCAGACAGGCAUGGCAACAUGUUAGUCUUUGCUUCUGUUAUUGUUUUUGAGACAGAGUUUAGCUCUUAUUGCCCAGGCUGAAGUGCAAUGGCUUGAUCUCGGCUCACUGCAACUUCCGCCUCCCGGGUUCAAGUGAUUCUCCUGCCUCAGCCUCCUGAGUAGCUGGGAUUACAGGCAUGCGCCACCACGCCCAGCUAAUUUUUGUAUUUUUAGUAGAGACAAGGUUUCUUCCUGUUGGUCAGGCUGGUCUCGAACUCCCAACCUCAAGUGAUCCACCCGCCUCAGCCUCCCAAAGUGCUGGGAUUACAGGCGUGAGCCACCACCACCCAGCCCAGUCUUUGCUUCUGACAUAAAGACCCCUCCUUGUUCUUCCCUCUCUACCUCGUGGUUCUCUGAGUUCCACCUAACCUGGUGGCUAAAACAUAGUAGGUGCUCAAUGUGUGCUUCUGGAAUGAAGAGUCCAGGUCUUCCACACAGGCCUCCUCCUCCCAUUCACUACCCUUCCCUGACUAGCAAAGCUGCCUAAACCCAGCUAGCUCCGGGUUAAAGGAAGGCCUGGAACCCAACUACAGUGCUUCCUGACAGUCUGACCCUACCACUGCCAGCCCCUCUUCAGGCCCAAGGUACUACUGGGUUGAGUAGCAGCUGCUUCCCCUCCCUGGGAGAAAGCUGGGACCGGGACUCUGCCUGUUUCCUCCCAUUAGCACUUCCUCCCAUUUCUGACUUUGACACAUCUGGCUGGUCACUUAGUACCAAAAGGUCCUGGUCAAGCAGCAGGGGCCAGAUCUGGACGGUCCUAAAACCCACAGCUGGGAAGGGAAGAUGGCCAGAGGUGGUCACUUGUCCUUCGUAUACUAUCUCCAGGCAGGACAUUCAAACUGCUAUGUAGCCACCCUAUCAAAAGACCCCUGGGAUUAGUGAGCUUGAUGCCCCAUGGAGAUCCGCUCCUCCAUCUGAUCUAAACCUCUCUGCUCCUGUGCCUCCUGCUGCUCUUUUUGCGCGGGCAGCUGGGGUCUCAGUGACAGUCAGGACAUACUAUCUGUGUAGGUUUUAUCCCUCUUGCUUUUCCAGGUCCAUGCUUUUUCUCCUUCCAGGAGAGGUAAUAAAGACUCUUGGAGCCCAAGUGAC